rnacentral:rRNA from 1 species
UUUUUGAAAAUAAUAAAAAGUCUAAUCUGCCCACUGAAUUUAUUUAAAGGGCUGCAGUAUAUUGACUGUACAAAGGUAGCAUAAUCAAUAGUCUUUUAAUUGAAGACUUGUAUGAAUGAUUUGAUGAAAUAUGAACUGUCUCUUUUUUAAAAAUAAAAUUUAAUUUUUUAGUUAAAAAGCUAAAAUAAUUAUAAAAGACGAGAAGACCCUAUAGAGUUUUAUAGUUAUUUAAUUUAAAAAUUUUAUAUAUAAUUUAAAUUUAAAAUUAAUUAAUUAUUUUAUUGGGGUGAUAGAAAAAUUAAAAAAACUUUUUUUAAAAAUUUAACAUUAAUUUAUGAAAUUAUGAUCCAUAAUUUAUGAUUAAAAGAAUCAAUUACCUUAGGGAUAACAGCGUAAUUUUUUUUUUUAGUACAAAUAAGAAAAAGAGUUUGCGACCUCGAUGUUGGAUUAAGAUAAAAUUUAAAUGCAAAAGUUUAAAAUUUUUGAUCUGUUCGAUCAUUAAAAUCUUACAUGAUCU